UACGUAGGGGGCUAGCGUUGUCCGGAAUCAUUGGGCGUAAAGCGCGCGGUAGGCGGCCAGAUAAGUCCGGUGUGAAAGUCACAGGCUCAACCUGUGAAUGCCGCUGGAACUGUCUGGCUAGAGUCCGGAAGGGGCGAGUGGAAUUCCUGGUGUAGCGGUGAAAUGCGCAGAUAUCAGGAGGAACACCGGUGGCGAAGGCGGGUCUCUGGGCCGAUAUCGACGCUGAGGAGCGAAAGCGUGGGGAGCGAACAGG
rnacentral:rRNA from 1 species